GACGAACGCUGGCGGCGUGCCUAAUACAUGCAAGUAGAACGCUGAAGGAGGAGCUUGCUUCUCUGGAUGAGUUGCGAACGGGUGAGUAACGCGUAGGUAACCUGCCUGGUAGCGGGGGAUAACUAUUGGAAACGAUAGCUAAUACCGCAUAAUAGCAGUUAUUGCAUGAUAACUGUUUGAAAGGUGCAAUUGCACCACUACCAGAUGGACCUGCGUUGUAUUAGCUAGUUGGUGGGGUAACGGCUCACCAAGGCGACGAUACAUAGCCGACCUGAGAGGGUGAUCGGCCACACUGGGACUGAGACACGGCCCAGACUCCUACGGGAGGCGGCAGUAGGGAAUCUUCGGCAAUGGACGGAAGUCUGACCGAGCAACGCCGCGUGAGUGAAGAAGGUUUUCGGAUCGUAAAGCUCUGUUGUAAGAGAAGAACGAGUGUGAGAGUGGAAAGUUCACACUGUGACGGUAUCUUACCAGAAAGGGACGGCUAACUACGUG
rnacentral:rRNA from 1 species